UGUGUGUAAAUGUUGUGUUACAUAUGGGAUGUGAUGCGUCGCACGCUUCAAUCGCCGGACGUUGUCGGGACAUGAGAUCAAGAUCAUGAUCUUCUCUUCACAUGGAGUCUGAUGAUGGUUUCGAAUAUACAUUCGUGUACGGUUGUAACACGAGCAGAGUAUGGCAGGUCAAAUGAUGCUCGGAGGAUAGUUUUGUGGUCCCGAUGAGGGGUCAAACUGCUUCACAGACUGCUCGGUUGAUUCCUGACAAAAAAAUUCGAAUAGAG
rnacentral:misc_RNA from 1 species